UUCCAGACUCCUACGGGAGGCAGCAGUGGGGGAUAUUGCACAAUGGGGGGAACCCUGAUGCAGCGACGCCGCGUGGGUGAAGAAGCGCCUCGGCGCGUAAAGCCCUGUCAGCAGGGAAGAAAAUGACGGUACCUGAAGAAGAAGCCCCGGCUAACUACGUGCCAGCAGCCGCGGGAAUACGUAGGGGGCAAGCGUUAUCCGGAUUUACUGGGGGUGAAGGGGGCGCAGACGGCGAUGCAAGCCAGGAGUGAAAGCCCGGGGCCCAACCCCGGGACUGCUCUUGGAACUGCGUGGCUGGAGUGCAGGAGGGGCAGGCGGAAUUCCUGGUGUAGCGGUGAAAUGCGUAGAUAUCAGGAGGAACACCGGUGGCGAAGGCGGCCUGCUGGACUGCAACUGACGUUGAGGCCCGAAAGCGUGGGGAGCAAACAGGAUUAGAUACCCUAGUACC
rnacentral:rRNA from 1 species